rnacentral:ncRNA from 1 species
GUAGUUUGGUAAAUUUAUUUUAAAUUUAUUUUACAUAUAAAUUUUAGUGUUGUUUUUAAUUUAUUUUAAUAAUAAAUUUUUAUUAAUAGUAGUAAUUAAUAUUAAAUUAUUUAAGAAAUUAAGAUUUAGUAAUAUUUAAAUUAAUAACAAAUUUUGUGCCAGCAGUUGCGGUUAAACAAAGAUUAAAUUAAAUUUUAUUAGUAAAUUAAUUAAUAAAUAUUAUAUUUAUAAUAAAAAUUUUAAAUUAUUAGGUGAAAUUUUAAUUUAAUAAAAAAUUAUAUUAAUUUUAUGAUUUAAUAAAUUUUUUUAAAAACUAGGAUUAGAUACCCUAUUAUUAAAAUUUUAAAUUUAAAUACUAAAAUAGUAGAUAAUUAUUUAUUGAAACUUAAACAGUUUGGCGGUAUUUUAGUUCAUUUAGAGGAAUCUGUUUAAUAAUUGAUAAUCCACGAAUAAAUUUACUUAAUUUAUAAUUUUGUAUAUCGUUGUUAAAAAAAUAUUUUAAUAUAAUAAUAAUAUUUUAAAAUUAUAAAUAAAUUUAAAUCAGAUCAAGAUGCAGAUUAUAAUUAAGAAUAUAAUGGAUUACAAUAAAUUUAUUUAAAUGAAUAUUAAUUUGAAAUAAAUUAAUUGAAAGUGGAUUUAAAUGUAAUUUUAUUUAAAUUAAUAAAAUGAUUUUAAAUUGAAAUAUGUACAUAUUGCCCGUCGCUUUCAUAUAUUAGGUAUAUAAUUUUUUUAUAUUAUAUAAAUUGGAAUAAGUCGUAACAAAGUAGAGAUACUGGAAAGUGUUUCUAGAAAGAA